rnacentral:rRNA from 1 species
AACCUUUACAAUGCACGCAAGUGCGAUAAGGGGACCCCGAGUGUUGGUGCCUAGCAUCAACUGUCUAACUGUCUAAAAAACAGUUGUUAGCAAGAGCCGGGUAAGACCGGUGCCAGCCGCCGCGGUAACACCGGCGGCUCGAGUGGUGACCGCUAUUAUUGGGUCUAAAGGGUCCGUAGCCGGCCUAAUAAGUUCUUUGGGAAAUCUGGCGGCUUAACCGUCAGGCUGCUGAGGGAUACUGUUAGGCUUGAGACCAGGAGAGGCUAGAGGUACCUCGGGGGUAG